rnacentral:rRNA from 1 species
GUGGGGAAUAUUGGACAAUGGGCGAAAGCCUGAUCCAGCCAUGCCGCGUGUGUGAAGAAGGUCUUCGGAUUGUAAAGCACUUUAAGUUGGGAGGAAGGGUAGUAACCUAAUACGUUGCUACUUUGACGUUACCGACAGAAUAAGCACCGGCUAACUUCGUGCCAGCAGCCGCGGUAAUACGAAGGGUGCAAGCGUUAAUCGGAAUUACUGGGCGUAAAGCGCGCGUAGGUGGUUCAGUAAGUUGGAAGUGAAAUCCCCGGGCUCAACCUGGGAACUGCUUUCAAAACUGCUGAGCUAGAGUAAGGUAGAGGGUGGUGGAAUUUCCUGUGUAGCGGUGAAAUGCGUAGAUAUAGGAAGGAACACCAGUGGCGAAGGCGACCACCUGGACUGAUACUGACACUGAGGUGCGAAAGCGUGGGGAGCAAACAGGAUUAGAUACCCGUGUAGUCC